GUGACUGGAUGACUUCAUUAAUGGAACAGGUAUAGAUCGGAACUGCUAGCAAGAUACAAUAGUAAGAGACUUGAGAGAUAGGAGGUAAAGAGCAAGGGAGAUGAGAGAAUGGUUGGUGACUUAGGAAAACCACAUAGGUGAGAAUGCAUGUUAAAUAUGGCUGAUAGUGCAUUGGACAUUGAGUGAUAUCAGAAGAAAACCCGUUUCUACGGUGUUCAUUUGGAACAUCUUAAUUUUUCUCAAUAGCAGUACAGUUACUGAAACAUGGUCAAGGAGUUAUUGGCAUUUUUAUGAAAGGAAGUGUCUUACAAGAGAUACCUGGCAGAUUCUAAGAUGUAGAGGUGGUAAUGUUAUGUGGUGUGAUGAUACUAAUAGUUUCUAGAGCAGCAGAAGGUAUUAUUGAAUACUUGAAUCUAAUAGUGAAUGCUUACACCCUUGAGGAGUUUUAACUCAAACAAAAGGAAAGGGAGUUUUUCUACCUUAAGGAUUCUUUUGAGCUCCAGCUGAUUAUCUCAGGAUAAAAUUACUGUGAUUUAGUUUGAAUAUAACUGUGGAAGACACAGCUAAGUUAAUUUAGUCCUGACUUUUUAAUGUUGGUAGGGACCUUGAAUGUGCAUGUUAUAUUUUAAAUCCUAAAGCUGAUUUUAUUGGCUUGGUUUUUUUGUUUGUUUUGAUCUGCCAGUUAUUUGGAGAGAAUAACUUUGUAAAUCAUUUGAAAAUUCAACUAUGUGUUUGAGGUAAAUUUGCUUCUCUUAGGAAGUUAGGAAGUAAAAUGAACAAUGACUUUUUUUCCCCUUAACCACCAGACAAGGUGAUUGUUUUCUUUAAUGACUGAUCUUUCUACAAAACUUUUAGUACAUUUCAUAAAAUGUACUAACUUUGCUUUUGAAAUACCUGCCAAGUCAGCUUUAGAAAUUAAUAUUUCAGGACUAGAGUUAUAGCUCAGUGAUAAGAGGGCAUGCUUGUCUAGCACCAAAACAAAACAAAAAGUAAUAGCUCAGAGUUAGCAUAUUUCCGCUUUCAUCUUCCUGCAGUUAUGGAAAGACCAGUGUUGAGAGAGCACUAGAAAAGGUCAUGGAAUGAAAUACAAAGCUUUGUAGAACAUGUGAAAUCUGUUUUGCUUUCAAGGGUGCCACUGUGAUUCUGGUGGUUACAUUUCAAGAAAGAUAAGGAAGAUGAAACUGUUUAGAGAAAUAGAAACAAAUAAUAAAGGAUUCUCAUACCUGUUAGUUCCAGCUACUCAGGCGGAUGGAUAGUAGGAGGAUAAGGGUUCAAGAUCAGUCGUGGGAAAAAGUUAGUGACACCCCAUUUCAUCUUUGUCACCCCAGCUAUGGGCUAGGUGUAAGUGGGACAAUUACAGUUCAGGAUAGCUUGUACAAAACGUGAGCUCCCAUUCCAAAAAAUAAUAAAAA